AUGAACGCUGGCGGCGUGCCUAAUACAUGCACGUCGAGCGAACAGACGAGGAGCUGGCUCCUCUGAUGUUAGCGGCGGACGGGUGAGUAACACGUGGAUAACCUACCUAUAAGACUGGGAUAACUUCGGGAAACCGGAGCUAAUACCGGAUAACAUGUUGAACCGCAUGGUUCAACAGUGAAAGACGGUCUUGCUGUCACUUAUAGAUGGAUCCGCGCCGCAUUAGCUAGUUGGUAAGGUAACGGCUUACCAAGGCAACGAUGCGUAGCCGACCUGAGAGGGUGAUCGGCCACACUGGAACUGAGACACGGUCCAGACUCCUACGGGAGGCAGCAGUAGGGAAUCUUCCGCAAUGGGCGAAAGCCUGACGGAGCAACGCCGCGUGAGUGAAGAAGGUCUUCGGAUCGUAAAACUCUGUUAUUAGGGAAGAACAAAUGUGUAAGUAACUAUGCACGUCUUGACGGUACCUAAUCAGAAAGCCACGGCUAACUACGUG
rnacentral:rRNA from 1 species